UUGAGUUGUCUCUCUUACCAAAUUGUAGAAGCUCUUUACAUUAUAUGGGUAUUGUUACAGAUGUUGAAAACAGUCCCUGCCAGUUUGUUGCUUUUAACUUUUUAAAAGGUACCUUUCAUUAAACACUUUUUAAUCUUUACACAA